rnacentral:rRNA from 1 species
GAUGGACGCUGGCGGCGUGCCUAAUACAUGCAAGUCGAGCGAACAGACGAGGAGCUUGCUCCUCUGACGUUAGCGGCGGACGGGUGAGUAACACGUGGAUAACCUACCUAUAAGACUGGGAUAACUUCGGGAAACCGGAGCUAAUACCGGAUAAUAUAUUUAACCGCAUGGUUCAAUAGUGAAAGACGGUUUUGCUGUCACUUAUAGAUGGAUCCGCGCCGCAUUAGCUAGUUGGUAAGGUAACGGCUUACCAAGGCAACGAUGCGUAGCCGACCUGAGAGGGUGAUCGGCCACACUGGAACUGAGACACGGUCCAGACUCCUACGGGAGGCAGCAGUAGGGAAUCUUCCGCAAUGGGCGAAAGCCUGACGGAGCAACGCCGCGUGAGUGAUGAAGGUCUUCGGAUCGUAAAACUCUGUUAUUAGGGAAGAACAAAUGUGUAAGUAACUAUGCACGUCUUGACGGUACCUAAUCAGAAAGCCACGGCUAACUACGUG